CAACGGACGAACUCCCACUGCACCACCCCAAACUCUUUCAACAUGAGUUCCCCCAGUCAUCUAUCGAGCCGCCCCGAGCGCUUACUAAGCUCUGCCGCCAGCCGACCUCCUACGGCCAUCGGCUGCUCCCCAAAUCCCUUCCAGACUUCUUCCAGCCAGGUUCAACUCCAACUCGAACUGCCUCGGACCUCACCAACAGCCGAACUUCACCAAUGGCAGAUUUCUACAACUACCGAAC
rnacentral:lncRNA from 1 species